AUCUAUUUUGAUAGAAAGGUAUCAAAUACCUCUUUCCAUAUAUCGCUCUCUCCUUCCCUAUCUUCUCUCCUUCCGAAUUCUCAUCUCCUUCUCCGCGUUUAAUCAGGGUUUUGGUUUUUCACGUUGAAUAUAAAGCGAGCUUUAAUUAAUGGCGUCGAAGAGGAUACUGAAGGAGCUCAAGGACUUGCAGAAGGAUCCUCCGACGUCGUGCAGCGCCGGUCCGGUUGGAGAAGAUAUGUUUUACUGGCAGGCGACAAUCAUGGGUCCUUCUGACAGUCCAUAUGCUGGAGGUGUAUUUUUAGUUUCAAUAUAUUUCCCCCCUGAUUACCCUUUUAAACCCCCCAAGGUUUCAUUUAAAACAAAAGUGUUCCAUCCUAACAUCAAUAGCAAUGGAAGCAUCUGCCUUGAUAUCCUCAAGGAGCAGUGGAGCCCUGCAUUGACAAUAUCCAAGGUGCUGCUGUCCAUUUGCUCGUUGUUGACGGAUCCGAACCCGGAUGAUCCUCUGGUCCCGGAGAUCGCACAUAUGUAUAAAACAGACACAGCCAAAUAUGAGGCUACUGCACGCAGCUGGACGCAAAAAUACGCUAUGGGAUAGGAUAGAUCAGUGAUAGAUCUUUGUAAUAAAGUUUCACUUGAGAAGCUGUUUGCUUCUAAAAAGCAUAUAAGAAGCGCAUCUAGGACUAACGGUCGGCUAGCGCGCUUGGAGGAACGAUUUGAUCAUUUCAAAAAUUAUGCCUUGACAAUCAACAGCUCGAGAGGAUGAUUGCCUGACCAGACCGCCGCGACCUCAAUGGCGAAUCUGGUGCGCCACAUGUUUGUUGAUUUUUGUACUAAGUAUUUGAACUUUAAUAAUUUACGUAUUCUACUAUUUUAAAAUAUACGGUUUUUUAUGAUAUCCAUCGAUUACGGAACUAUGUUUAUAAAUAUCGUGUGAUUUGA